rnacentral:rRNA from 1 species
AUUGAACGCUGGCGGCAUGCUUUACACAUGCAAGUCGAACGGUAACAGGUUAAGCUGACGAGUGGCGAACGGGUGAGUAAUGCAUCGGAACGUGCCCGAUCGUGGGGGAUAACGCAGCGAAAGCUGCGCUAAUACCGCAUACGAUCUGAGGAUGAAAGCGGGGGACCGUAAGGCCUCGCGCGAUCGGAGCGGCCGAUGUCAGAUUAGGUAGUUGGUGGGGUAAAGGCUCACCAAGCCAACGAUCUGUAGCUGGUCUGAGAGGACGACCAGCCACAUUGGGACGGAGAAACGGCCCAGACUCCUACGGGGGGCAGCAGUGGGGAAUUUUGGACAAUGGGCGAAAGCCUGAUCCAGCAAUGCCGCGUGCAGGAAGAAGGCCUUCGGGUUGUAAACUGCUUUUGUACGGAGCGAAAAGGCCCUCUCUAAUACAGUGGGCUCAUGACGGUACCGUAAGAAUAAGCACCGGCUAACUACGUGCCAGCCGCCGCCGUAA